rnacentral:rRNA from 1 species
GACAAGGGGAAGCCGACGGGGGAAGGAAAACAAAGCAGGGCGAGGGGCCCGGCGGAGGCGAACGCAAGGGAGGGCGGCCCAGGGCGCGGAAGGGCAAAGGGAAGAAAGGCAACCAAGCGCGGGGAAACGGGCGGGAGGAACGAGGACGCGCGGAAGGGAGCCAAAGGCCGCGGCAGCGAAGGAGGGACGCGCAGGAAGGAGGAACGAGAGGCCCACGGGCCCGGGCGACGAGCCAGCGAAACCACAGCCAAGGGAACGGGCGGGGCAGAAGCAGCGGGGAAAGAAGACCCGGGGAGCGGGACGCGAGGCCGACGGGGGGAAAGGACGGGAGAGGGGGAGGAGAAGGGGGAGCCGAAAGGCGAAAGGGAAAGACCACGACGGGGAACGGGAGGGGACGGAGGCCGGGAAGCGGAGGCGGGGCAGGGCCCCGCGGGGGGACCCAAGGCGCGCGGGCGGCCGAGCCGGGCGGAAGACAGGGGCAGGGGGGAGGGGGGCGGGGGCGGCACAGCGGGGAAAAGAGAACGCAGGGGGCCGAAGAGGAGCGCAACGAGAACAGAAAGCGCGGGGGAACAGAAGGGGAAAAGCGCGGGGGAGGCGGAGGGCCAGGACGAAGACGAACCGGGAAAGCGGGGCCGAACGAGCCGGGAGACCGGCGGAAGGCGAAGCGAGAGGGGGCAGAAAAGGGACCACAGGGAGAACGGGCGGGGGCAGCCAAGCGGGCAGAGCGACGGGGCGGGGAGCCGGCGAGGGCGGCGCGGCCGAGCAGGGGGAAGCAGAAGGCACCAAGGGGGGGAGGGGGCACCCACCAAGAGGGAACGGGAGCGGGGGGAGACCGGCGGGAGACAGGGGAGGGGACCCGACGGAGGACAGGGGCGCAAGAGGAAGGCAACCGAGGACGAGAGGAACCGGGGAGGCGCACAAGGGGGCAGCGCGCGGGGGGAAAAGCCAGGGGCGCGAAGCGACCGGGCGGGGGAGGAGGACGGAACGCCGCGAAGGCAGAAGCCGGGCGAGACCGACGCAGGGCGCGCGG